GAUUAGCUCAGCUGGGAGAGCACCUCCCUUACAAGGAGGGGGUCGGCGGUUCGAUCCCGUCAUCACCCACCA
rnacentral:tRNA from 18 species